GGGUGGGCUAUAGCCUUGGUGGGGGGCGUGAGCGAAGUUCGUCCGCGGGACUCGGAAUGGCACCAGACUUGGCGGGCGGACUCCGUGUGCCAAAAAUAGGCCACGGGCACAGCCGCGCCCAAAAACAGCCCCCGAAGUUCGGGCUCCCAAGACCCCCCAGCGGAAAAAUGGCCAAAAAACGGGUGGGCUAUAGCCUUGGUGGGGGGCGUGGGCGAAGUUCGUCCGCGGGACUCGGAAUGGCACCAUACUUGGCGGGCGGCCUCCGUGUGCCAAAAAUAGGCCACGGGCACAGCCGCGCCCAAAAAACAGCCCCCGAAGUUCGGGGUCCCAAGACCCCCCAGCGGAAAAAUGGCCAAAAAACGGGUGGGCUAUAGCCUUGGUGGGUGGCGCCCAAAAGUUCGUCCGCGGGACUCGGAAUGGCACCAGACUUGGCGGGCGGCCUCCGUGUGCCAAAAAUAGGCCACGGGCACAGCCGCGCCCAAAAAACAGCCCCCGAAGUUCGGGUUCCCAAGACCCCCCAGCGGAAAAAUGGCCAAAAAACGGGUGGGCUAUAGCCUUGGUGGGUGGCGCCCAAAAGUUCUUCCGCGGGACUCGGAAUGGCACCAGACUUGGCGGGCGGCCUCCGUGUGCCAAAAAUAGGCCACGGGCACAGCCGCGCCGAAAAAACAGCCCCCGAAGUUCGGGGUCCCAAGACCCCCCAGCGGAAAAAUGGCCAAAAAACGGUGGGCUAUAGCCUUGGUGGGGUGCGUGGGCAAAGUUCGUCUGCGGGACUCGGAAUGGCACCAGACUUGGCGGGCGGCCUCCGUUUGCCAAAAAUAGGCCACGGGCACAGCCGCGCCCAAAAACAGCCCCCGAAGUUCGGGUUCCAAGACCCCCCAGCGGAAAAAUGGCCAAGAAACGGGUGGGCUAUACCCUUGGUGGGUGGCGCCCAAAAGUUCUUCCGCGGGACUCGGAAUGGCACCAGACUUGGCGGGCGGCCUCCGUGUGCCAAAAAUAGGCCACGGGCACAGCCGCGCCGAAAAAACAGCCCCCGAAGUUCGGGGUCCCAAGACCCCCCAGUGGAAAAAUGGCCAAAAAACGGUGGGCUAUAGCCUUGGUGGGGUGCGUGGGCGAAGUUCGUCUGCGGGACUCGGAAUGGCACCAGACUUGGCGGGCGGCCUCCGUUUGCCAAAAAUAGGCCACGGGCACAGCCGCGCCCAAAAAACAGCCCCCGAAGUUCGGGGUCCCAAGACCCCCCAGCGGAAAAAUGGCCAAAAAACGGUGGGCUAUAACCUUGGUGGGGGGCGUGGGCGAAGUUCGUCCGCGGGACUCGGAAUGGCACCAGACUUGGCGGGCGGCCUCCGUGUGCCAAAAAUAGGCCACGGGCACAGCCGCGCCCAAAAAACAACCCCCGAAAUUCGGGGUCCCAAGACCCCCCAGCGGAAAAAUGGCCAAAAAACGGUGGNNNNNNNNNNNNNNNNNNNNNNNNNNNNNNNNNNNNNNNNNNNNNNNNNNNNNNNNNNNNNNNNNNNNNNNNNNNNNNNNNNNNNNNNNNNNNNNNNNNNNNNNAGCCGCGCCCAAAAAACAACCCCCGAAGUUCGGGGUCCCAAGAACCCCGAGCGGAAAAUGACCAAAAAACGGUGGGCUAUAGCCUUGAUGGGGUGCGUGGGCGAAGUUCGUCCGCGGGACUCGGAAUGGCACCAGACUUGGCGGGCAGCCUCCGUGUGCCAAAAAUAGGCCACGGGCACAGCCGCGCCCAAAAAACAGCCCCCGAAGUUCGGGGUCCCAAGACCCCCCAGCGGAAAAAUGGCCAAAAAACGGGUGGGCUAUAGCCUUGGUGGGGGGCGUGGGCGAAGUUCAUCCGCGGGACUCGGAAUGGCACCAGACUUGGCGGGCGGCCUCCGUGUGCCAAAAAUAGGCCACGGGCAUAGCCGCGCCCAAAAAACAGCCCCCGAAGUUCGGGGUCCCAAGACCCCGCAGCGGAAAAAUGGCCAAAAAACGGUGGGCUAUAGCCUUGGUGGGGGGCGUGGGCGAAGUUCGUCCGCGGGACUCGGAAUGGCACCAGACUUGGCGGGCGGCCUCCGUGUGCCAAAAAUAGGCCACGGGCAUAGCCGCGCCCAAAAAACAGCCCCCGAAGUUCGGGGUCCCAAGACCCCCCAGCGGAAAAAUGGCCAAAAAACGGUGGGCUAUAGCCUUGGUGGGGGGCGUGGGCGAAGUUCGUCCGCGGGACUCGGAAUGGCACCAGACUUGGCGGGCGGACUCCGUGUGCCAAAAAUAGGCCACGGGCACAGCCGCGCCCAAAAAACAGCCCCCGAAGUUCGGGCUCCCAAGACCCCCCAGCGGAAAAAUGGCCAAAAAACGGGUGGGCUAUAGCCUUGGUGGGGGGCGUGGGCGAAGUUCGUCCGCGGGACUCGGAAUGGCACCAUACUUGGCGGGCGGCCUCCGUGUGCCAAAAAUAGGCCACGGGCACAGCCGCGCCCAAAAAACAGCCCCCGAAGUUCGGGGUCCCAAGACCCCCCAGCGGAAAAAUGGCCAAAAAACGGGUGGGCUAUAGCCUUGGUGGGUGGCGCCCAAAAGUUCGUCCGCGGGACUCGGAAUGGCACCAGACUUGGCGGGCGGCCUCCGUGUGCCAAAAAUAGGCCACGGACACAGCCGCGCCCAAAAAACAGCCCCCGAAGUUCGGGUUCCCAAGACCCCCCAGCGGAAAAAUGGCCAAAAAACGGGUGGGCUAUAGCCUUGGUGGGUGGCGCCCAAAAGUUCUUCCGCGGGACUCGGAAUGGCACCAGACUUGGCGGGCGGCCUCCGUGUGCCAAAAAUAGGCCACGGGCACAGCCGCGCCGAAAAAACAGCCCCCGAAGUUCGGGGUCCCAAGACCCCCCAGCGGAAAAAUGGCCAAAAAACGGUGGGCUAUAGCCUUGGUGGGGUGCGUGGGCGAAGUUCGUCUGCGGGACUCGGAAUGGCACCAGACUUGGCGGGCGGCCUCCGUUUGCCAAAAAUAGGCCACGGGCACAGCCGCGCCCAAAAAACAGCCCCCGAAGUUCGGGGUCCCAAGACCCCCCAGCGGAAAAAUGGCCAAAAAACGGUGGGCUAUAGCCUUGGUGGGGGGCGUGGACGAAGUUCGUCCGCGGGACUCGGAAUGGCACCAGACUUGGCGGGCGGCCUCCGUGUGCCAAAAAUAGGCCACGGGCUCAGCCGUGCCCAAAAAACAACCCCCGAAGUUCGGGGUCCCAAGACCCCCCAGCGGAAAAAUGGCCAAAAAACGGGUGGGCUAUAGCCUUGGUGGGGGGCGUGGGCGAAGUUCGUCCGCGGGACUCGGAAUGGCACCAUACUUCGCGGGCGGCCUCCGUGUGCCAAAAAUAGGCCACGGGCACAGCCGCGCCCAAAAAACAGCCCCCGAAGUUCGGGGUCCCAAG
rnacentral:lncRNA from 1 species